ACGAACGCUGGCGGCGUGCCUAAUACAUGCAAGUCGAACGCUUCUUUCCUCCCGAGUGCUUGCACUCAAUUGGAAAGAGGAGUGGCGGACGGGUGAGUAACACGUGGGUAACCUACCCAUCAGAGGGGGAUAACACUUGGAAACAGGUGCUAAUACCGCAUAACAGUUUAUGCCGCAUGGCAUAAGAGUGAAAAGCGCUUUCGGGUGUCGUUGAUGGAUGGACCCGCGGUGCAUUAGCUAGUUGGUGAGGUAACGGCUCACCAAGGCCACGAUGCAUAGCCGACCUGAGAGGGUGAUCGGCCACACUGGGACUGAGACACGGCCCAGACUCCUACGGGAGGCAGCAGUAGGGAAUCUUCGGCAAUGGACGAAAGUCUGACCGAGCAACGCCGCGUGAGUGAAGAAGGUGUUCGGAUCGUAAAACUCCGUUGUUAGAGAAGAACAAGGACGUUAGUAACUGAACGUCCCCUGACGGUAUCUAACCAGAAAGCCACGGCUAACUACGUG
rnacentral:rRNA from 1 species